rnacentral:lncRNA from 10 species
GAAACACAGAAGUUAAUAAAACAGACAAGGACCCUGCCACGUGAAGCUUGCAUUUUAUUGGAAGAAGAAAAAUAUUAAACAAAUAAAUACAAUAAAGACGUAUAUAAUAGCAUAGUAUCAGAUAAUGAUAGUUGAUUUUAAGAAAAUGAAACAGGAUAACAGAAUGGACAGUGAGGGCAGGUAUUUGAUUAGGAUGGUUGAAGAAGACCUCUCUGAGAAGAUAACAUUUGAAUAGAGGUGUGGAUGAUAGAAAGAAGCUGGCCAGGAAAAAGGGAUGGAAGAACAGCUUUCUGGACAGAGAGACCAGCUAGUGACGAGGCUUAAUAGAAAGAGUUUGACAUGGAGCAGGACGGGCAAGGAAAUUAACGAUGUUGUCUCACUCUGUCACCCAGGCUGGAUUGCGGUGGCGCGAUCUCGGCUCACUGAAACCUCCGCCUCCUGGGCUCAAGCAAUUCUCUUGCCUCAGCCUCCCAAGUAGCUGGGAUUACAGGUGCGCCACCACACCCCACUAAUUCUUGUAGAGACAGGGUUUCACCAUGUUGGCCAGGCUGGUCUCAAACUCCUGACCUCAAGUGAACCGCUCACCUCGACCUACCAAAGUGCUGGGAUUACAGGCCUGAGCCACUGCACCUGGCCGAGGACUGUGCUCUUUAACACUAGGGAAUAUAUCUUCUCACAGGAAUGGGAAUAUCAGCAGAUCCCAGACAGUCAUAGUGAGAGGUGACAGCAUGCUGGCAGUCGUCGCAGCCCUCGCUCGCUCUUGGCGCCUCCUCGGCCUGGGCGCCCACUCUGGCCGCGCCUGAGGAGCCCUUCAGCCCGUCGCUGCACUGUGGGAGCCUCUUCCUGGGAUGGCCGAGGCAGGAGCCAGCUCCCUCAGCCUGAGGGGAAGUGCGGAGGGAGAGGCACGGGCAGGAACCGGGGCUGCGCGUAGCCCUUGCGGGCCAGCUAGAGUUCCGGGUUGGCGUGGGUUUGGCGGGCCCCGCCUCCCUGGGCAAUGAGGAGCUUAGCACCCGGACCAGCAGGGUUUAGCAACCGGGCCAGCAGCUGAGGAGGGUGCGCUGGGUCCCCCAGCAGUGCCAGCCUACCGGCGCUGCGCUCGAUUUCUCGCGGGGCCUUAGGUGCCUCCCCGCGGGGCAGGGCUCCGGACCUGCAGCCCGCCAUGCCUGAGCCUCUUCUCCCCUACCCCCACCCCGCCGUGGGCGCCUGCGCGCCAGAGCCUCCCCAGGAUCGCCGCCCCCUGCUCCAGGGCGACUGGUCCCAUCGACCGCCCAAGGGCUGAGGAGUGCAGGGGCACAGCGCAGGACUGGCGGCAGCUCCAUCUGCCGCCCCAGGUGCGGGAUCCACUGGGUGAAGCUAUCUGGGCUCCUGAGUCUAAUGGGGACUUGGAGAACGUUUAUGUCUAGCUAAGGGAUUGUAAAUACACCAAUCAGCACUCUGCAUCUAGCUCAAGGUUUGUAAACACACCAGUCAGCACCCUGUGUCUAGCUCAGGGUUUGUGGAUGCCCCAAUCCGCACUCUGUAUCUAGCUAAUCUAGUGGGGACUUGGGGAAUCUUUAUGUCUAGCUAAGGGGUUGUGAAUACACCAAUCCGCACUCUGUAUCUAGCUCAAGGUUUGUAAAUGCACCAAUCAGCACUCUGUGUCUAGCUCAGGGUUUGUAAAUACACUAAUCAGCACUCUGUAUCUAGCUAAUCUAGUGGGGACAUGGAGAACUUUUGUGUCUAGCUCAGGGAUUGUAAACGCACCAAUCAGCACCCUGUCAAAACGGACCAAUCAUUUCUCUGUAAAAUAGACCAAUUGGCUCUGUAAAAUGGACCAAUCAGCAGGAUGUGGGUGGGGCCAGAUAACAGAAUAAAAGCAGGCGGCCAGAGCCAGCAGUGCCAACCAGCUGGGGUCCCCUUCUGCCAUGUAGAGGCUUUGUUCUUUCAGUCUUUGCAAUAAAUCUUUCUGCUGCUUGCUCUUUGGGUUCACACUGCCUUUCUGAGCUGUAAGGCAGUGAAGGUCUCAUCACGAAAGUCUACAAUUUCACUCCUGAAGUCAUGGAGACCACGAACCUACAGGGAGGAACGAACAACUCCAGACAGGCCGCCUUAAGAGCUAUAAUUCUCACCGCGAAGGUCUGCAGCUUCACUCCUGAGACAGUGAGACCACAAACCCACUGGGAGGAACCAACAACUCCAGACGGGCCACCUUAAAAGCUGUAACACUCACUGCGAAGGUCCGCAGCUUCACUCCUGAGCCAGUGAGACAACGAACCCACCGGGAGGAACGAACAACUCCAGACGGGCCACCUUAAAAGCUGUAACACUCACCGCCAAGGUCCGCAGCUUCACUCCUGAGCCAGCGAGACCACGAACCAACCAGAAGGAAGAAACUCCGAACACAUCCAAACAUCAGAAGGAACAAACUCCAGACACGCCGCCUUUAAGAAUUGUAACACUUACUGCGAGGGUCCGCGGCUUCAUUCUUGAAGUCAGUGAGAUCAAGUACCCACCAAUUCCGGACACAAUAGUACGUUUUUUUAAAAGUUUAUAUACAAAGAAAUAAAAUUAUUUGUAAAAAAAUAAAAACUUAGAUAUUGAAGUUAUUGUGAAAGAUGACACGUUACUUGUUAUUGUGUAUUUUUACACUAAAAUUGAAUUUAAUUUUUAUUUCUAAUUUCGAUAUUACUGCAGAUCUAGCGCUUAUUUACUACAGAAAACAGACAUUUGAAUUCAAACGUGCUUUCUGAAUUUAAGUAUUUUUACACUAAAAUUGAAUUAAAUUUUUAUUUCUAAUUCCGAUAUUACUACAGAUCUAGCGCUUAUUUACUACAGAAAACAGACAUUUGAAUUCAAACGUGCUUUCUGAAUUUAAGUGUGUUUAUGAGCAGCACAUUUAGAGUCUCAUUGGCAUAUUUAAAAGUAUAGAUUCUUUCCAUCUAGAAUUUAAAAUAAUUCAAUAUUUUUCUAUGUCCCGAAAAUUCCAAACUUUACUCCUUAAAACCCUUGAAAUCCAAAAAAUUACAAGUUGCUGAAAAAGGGGUGUCUUAAAAUAUUAUAGUGUUGCCUAAUUCUUAUUUUUAUCUCUUUUAUGCUAUGGGGUAGAUUUUCUCCUAUGAAUUUGAUCCUUAAGUUAAUCAACCUACUAUAUACAUACAUAUGCACACACAUAUAUACUUACAAUGUAGACAUAUUGUAUGUAUCACCUAGCUGUAAUUAUUCUAUUUCAAUAAUAUUUUUUAGGAAGCAGAACAAAAAGUUAAUCAUUACUCCCAGGUAUUACUUGUUUCUGCAUGCCACUGUUUUCUAAUCUUUGAGAGUGCCUCAAAUUUAAGUAUAUCAUUCUGUCCAGUUUCUGUUUGCAAUAUUAACAAGAAUUCUUUCUCUUUCUACUUAAUGUAUAUAUUUUAAAAAAAAAAAUCCAUGCAGAUUUUGGUUAAAAUGCCAUUUUAGCAAUGGAAGUCCUUCCUUUAUUUUACUCAUAUCGUUCUAAAAAGGUUAGCAAAGUAAUUACUUAAAAGAACUUGCAAACUUUAAGCUUUCUUAAAACUUAAAGCAAACUUUAAUUUUGAGUUCACGGAUUAUAUUGUGAACCACUUAUUUAAAUAAAAGUGUUUAUAUUUUUCCUAAUAGAGUAUCGCUUCUGACACUGAAAAUGUUAAUAAUUGGUACACAGCUUUUAAAGCUUAUUUGAAACAAAACACACUGAUAUAGUUUGCAUGUGUGUGCCUGCCCACAUCUUAUGUCAAAAUGUAAUCCCUGAUGUUGGAGGUGUGGCCUGGUGGGAGGUGAUUGGCUCAUGGAGGUGGUUUCUCAUGAAUGGUUUAGCACCAUCCUCUUGGGUGCCCUCCUCUCAAUAGUGAGUUCUCGAGAGACUUGUUAUUUAAAAGUGUGUGGCACUUCCCCUCUCUCUCUCUUGCUCCUGCUCUGGCCAUGUGAUGUGACUGUUGCCCCUUCGCCUUCCACCAUGAUUGUGUCUUGAGGCAUCCCCAGAAGCUAAGCUGAUGCCAGCAUCGUGUUUUCUGUGCAGCCUGUAGAACGAUGAGCCAAUUAAACCUCUUUUCUUCAUAAAUUACCCAGUCUCAGGUAUUUCUUUACAGCAAUUUGAUAAUAGACUAAUAGAUGCACAAAUGUGUGUAUGAACCAUAGGCAAACACAAGAUUUCCAUGAAGUAAAUAUUUUCAAAUGAACAAUUAUGCCUAGCGUUUUUUAUUUGCACCCAUAUAUUUUAUGUCGUAUAGAAAGUAUGAAAGAUAACACAGAGAUGAAACUGCAAUCACACAGUUAAAAACAUGUAAUUCUAGUCUGAAAAAUUUUCCUCUUGGUCACAGUAUAUUCAAAAAUAAUACCAAAAAGAUUAAAACUAUUUUCAAGAUGGCCCAUUUCCAAGGGAUUUUUUUUUUGAGAAUUUUGGGGUUCUUGUCAAUUGAUCUGAAAUAAUUCUAAAGGCCCUCUAUAUUCCUAUUUCUCCUUUCCCUGUUCCAACAGGGUGCUAUGUACAUAAUUAUGCAGUAUUGCAAUUACCCAUUCUAAUAUCGAUUUGAUGUACUAUAUUGAAAACUUCAUAAGCCUAGAAAUAUAUUUUAAUUGUGCUUUUACUCAGUGGUGUAUUUAUAAUAAAUGGGUUGCUAUAGUAACAUUAUUUGAUAGCUGGAGCAGAUAAUUUUUUAACAACCUCCCAUUUGACCAAAUUAUUUUCAGUAAUAGUGUAACAAAUAUAUUUUAUCUGUAAACUAAAAUUUGUGCUUACCAACCAAAAAUACUACACCUCAAAGUUUGCACUCUACUUUAAGAACAAAUACAAAUUCCAAGUGGCCCCAUAGGAUAAGAAGAUUGUGGCAACUCAAGUUCCGUUUUUCAUCUAUAUAAUAUGCUACCUUUGUUUGCUUAGAAACAGCUGUUUAAAUGAAGGAAUAUUUAUAUAUUAUAAAAGCUGGACAGUAGUUGCAACACUGGUUUCAAAUAUUUAUACUAACAAGAUAUUGGGGUAGGUAGAGUACUUUAUGACUAAUUUUGCUUACAAUUGCCAGUAUAUAGCGAUAAUAAAAAAGAAGACUGACUUUUGGUUGCGUUUAUGAUUGUCUUCAAAUUCUCUAUGAACAACACACCCCCUAAUUGCCUGCACCUGGGACAGACCAUUCCUUACACCCUGACCUUGGCACACCUUGUAUUGCUUUUAUUCCCAGUGUCUAGACUGUGUCUUCUAUAUCAUAUAGGCUAAAAAAUUUUUUUAUGAAUGGGUUAUUAAGAAGUACGCUUAUGCUUGUUAUUUUAUUUUUUCAUAGACUUUUGGGAAAUACUAUUCGGCACAAGAAUAACUAGAAUAUGGCUCUGGUUCUUGAUAUGAUUGUUCUCUGUUACAACUAAAAGCCACAAAACCACGCGCUUUACUUCUCAUAGUUUAAGAAUCAAAAGGGCAUCUAACACCAAGUGAGAAUCACUUCUUACUGUAGUUUGUACAGCAGGCUUGGGCAUCCCCCCAAAUAUAUUUCAAAAUGAAAACAAAUAUGAUACUUAUAUUAUACCAUUAGUAGACUAUCCAAAAUGCUGUGCACAUGGAAUACAUGUGAAUUCCCUUCUGCUUGAUUUAUGAUGCCGGCCACUUGGAAGAGCAAAGAGAGAUAAAGGAGAAGCCCAGGCAAGCAUGCUGGCUAAUGAGAGAUCAAGACCCUGUCAUCCCAGACACUUCUGCUGCCGUGAUCAACAGCCUGCUAACUGCCAGUAUACGAGCUACCACCUGACUCCCCAGCUAGACACAGUGCUAAGUCUUCAUGCCUGGAAUAAUGUCUUGUAGACAUAGAAGACAGAAGACAGUCAAUUUGAGAGUGGAUGGUGAAGGAAUAGGUGGCUGAAUCUUUGCACAUUGUUAGGAUAUCAUCUGGCUCAUUAUUUUCAGUGUCUCUGGACACUGAUAAGCACUUUCUAAGAACGCUGCUGGAAGGGUAGGAGAGGUUUGGAGGGGAUCUCCUCUCAUUACACCAUUCGCCCAUACACAGUACACACAUGUAUUAACUGAUAUCAGAAGAAAGCAGCUGAAGAUCUGCUUCCAGAUGUCUCAGUGGGGAAACACAGUCCCAAUGCAGAAUAAAAACCCCAUUGAGCAUAGGUACAGCCCAAUAAAUGGUAGUUACUUUUCCCCCCAAAGACUUUUUUUUAAAAUCAGUUGUAGGGUCACAAGAAAUGAGCAGGAAGUAUAGAGUUUCCAUAUACCCCUUCCCCUGCCAACCUCCUCCACUACCAACAUCCUCAUUAGAGAGGUACAUUUGUUACAACUGACGAACCUACAUUGACACAUCAUUACCACCCAAAGUCCAUAGUUUACAUUACAGCUCACUCUUAGGGUUGUACAUUCUAUGGGUUUGGACAAAUAUAUGACUACAUGUAUCCACCAUUGCAGUAUCACACAGGAUAGUUUCACUGCCCUAAAAAUCUCCCUUGCUCCACUUUUUUUGCCUUUCCUCCUAACCUCAGGUAACCACUGAUCCUUUUACUAUCUCCACAGUUUUGCCUUUCCCAGAAUGUCAUAUAGUUGGAAUCAUACAGUAUGUAGACAUUUUCAGAUUGGCUUCUUUCAUUUAGCAAUAAUGCAUUGAAGUUUCUUCCUUGUCUUUUCAUGGCUUUAUAAAGUUAUAGAGUUAUAACUCAUUUAUUUUUAGUACUGAAUAACAGCUCCUUGUUUUGAUGUACCACAGUUUAUGUAUCCAUUCCUCUUCUGAAGGACAUCUUGCUUGCUUCCAGCAAUUAUAAAUAAACAUCCAUAUGCAGGUUUUUAUGUGUAUAGUUGCCUUUUUAAAUUUGUUUUUGAAUUAUUUGCUUAAACUCAGAGGCAAAAACAUAUAAUCCCUCACAUUUUGGAGUUAGACAACUUCUGCCCAGUGCUGCCAAUUAUUGGUCAUAUAAUCUCAAGCAAUUUAUUUUUUCUUUCUUGACUUUGCAUGAUCAAGCAUCUGCAUAAGGAAGAAACUAGAACCAUGGUUAAGAAGGUUUUUCUGAAAUUAGAAGAAGUAAUGCUUAAAAAGUAAUGACAGGUGUCAUGUAUGAUCACUGGCUAGAACAGUUAUAAGAAGUUAUCAUGAAUGAUAAAAAUUACCACUGAAAAUAGUUAUCGGUAAUGCUAACAUUAGCAUUGUUAUUAAUUACUAAUAUUAAAAUUAUUAUUUUAAUGCUAAUAGUUGUUACAAGUGAUAAUAGCUAUUAAUUGUUAUAGUUAACAUUAAUGAUAAUAUUUGUAAGUCCUUAAGAUGUACUAGUCAACAUUCUCAGUGCUGUCCAUGUAGUAACUCUUCACUCUUACUGUAAGUGGUUGGUUCUAUGUAUUAUACAGGUGAGGAAAUUAAGACCCAAAGAGUCUAAGUAACUUCUCUAAAGUUCUAAAACUAGUAAUUUGCCAGAGCUGGAAUUUGAAUCUGCCUCUAAAAUCUGUGCUUUUAGUAGAGAAUAUAAUUCAUAAUAAAUAUUAAAUUAGUUU